UUGGGUGAAACACUUUCUGGAACUUACAGUGGCUUAUUGAGUGCAACUGGUAUAUGUACCUACCUGGAACUAACAAUACCUAGAUUGCUGUAUGUUCCUGCCUUGGAAUGUGUUUGUUCCUUCCUUGAACUUACUUGAUGGGUUCCUUCUUUGAACUAACAGUGUCAAAGAACAAAAUUUAACGUAAUUACAUGUGUCUAACUCAAACCCAGGACCUCUCACACCUGAGGCAGACACUUUACCAUUUCGCCAUAACAGCAGGAUCUAAAGCUAGGCUGUGUAUGACGUCAUUGUCCAAAGAUUCAUGAAUAGCGAAUAUGCAUUUGUUAAAGCGGGAUCAGUUGGCCUAUUUUAGAAA